rnacentral:rRNA from 1 species
UAGGGAAUAUUGGUCAAUGGGCGGAAGCCUGAACCAGCCAUGCCGCGUGCAGGAAGACGGCCUUCUGGGUUGUAAACUGCUUUUACCAGGGAACAAAUAGGCCAUGCGUGGCAAGUUGAGUGUACCUGGGGAAUAAGCACCGGCUAACUCCGUGCCAGCAGCCGCGGUAAGACGGAGGGCGCUAGCGUUGUUCGGAAUCACUGGGCGUAAAGGGCGCGUAGGCGGCUGUUUAAGUCGAGGGUGAAAGCCCGGGGCUCAACCCCGGAACGGCCUUCGAGACUGGGCAGCUCGAGACCGGAAGAGGAGGGUGGAAUACCCAGUGUAGAGGUGAAAUUCGUAGAUAUUGGGUGGAACACCAGUGGCGAAAGCGGCUCUCUGGUCCGGAUCUGACGCUGAGGCGCGAAAGCGUGGGGAGCAAACAGGAUUAGAUACCCGUGUAGUCC